AUGGGGAUUGGAAUGAUCAUCAUGUUGUACUGUGGCAUCAAUGUAGUGAGAGGAAGACAUGAGAUAGAGACUGCCUUCCGGAAUGAACUACAAAAGGUGAACAUAAGAGAAGAAGUCAUGAGAGACAUGUUUGAGACGAUACAGUCAAAGUUUCAUUGCUGUGGAUUGGGCUUAUGAAAUCCCUGACUCCUGCAAAUGCAAGUAUGUAAUAUAUGACGGUUCUGGGGAUUCUGGCUCACCGAGAUGCCAAUCCAAGCCUCAGGGAUUCACAGGCCCAGAUAAAAUCUAUGAACAGCCCUGCAUCACUGAACUUUUGAACCUUGUCUUUAACAUCCUGUUUGGCUUCUUCUUUGGAUUUGCUGUUAUAGCACUGCUGGGCCUGCUCAUUACCAUCUGCAUGAUUAAUCAGGUCAAAAGUGACGACAGUAGAGAAUCCAUGUACUUGAGGAAGUACUAAAGGGAGCCACCACACCACAUGUCCUCUGUCCUUUGAGUUAUAGUGCAUCAAGAGU